CAAAAUUGAAGGCAGUCUAAGGGCGCGACGUCCUGUCGCAACGACUGCAUGACCUACAUCCUGUAGG
rnacentral:sRNA from 1 species